AUGAGCCGGCCUUGGCUCAUUAUGCCUAUACGUAACCCCACAGACGAUGCCCAGGAGCGCUACAAUCGGGCGCUCAAGCGGACUAGGGCUUUAGUGGAGAGGAUAUUUGGGUUCCUCAAAAUGCGCUUAAGAUGCCUGGACAGGUCUGGAGGAGCCAUAAUAAGGUGGCAAAUAUCGUUAUAGCCUGCAGCGUCCUGCAUAACAUAGCUCAGUGAGCUUGGAUGCUGCAGGCUGUCCAGGCGCCCCGAGAUCUCCUCCAAGAUGAGGAGGAUGAGCCAGUUCUACAGGGGCAAUUCCGGGACGAGGGGCUCAAUGUCAGAGCAAACAUCAUCAACUGCAACUUCAGACGGUAAUUUAUACAUCAGAUGAUUCUGGCAUGGGCUCCUGUAAUGACUUUGCCACCUGAUUUACAAAGACAACAUCAGAUGACUGAAAGUGAAUAAUACCAAUGUGAUCAUGUCUGUGGCAUUGUCUUUCAACUGUGCUGACUUUGAAAAACAUACAAAGACACAUUCACAUGAUGGUAUUUCACAAUCCUCUUUUUGGAAAAUAAUGAAUAGGACACAUAAUGAAGAUAAACUGAGAUUUGGAAGAGAAUUGCCUUUCAAAGACCUAAC